rnacentral:rRNA from 1 species
AAGCCCUGGAAACGGGGUCUAAUACCGGAUAACACUCUGUCCCGCAUGGGACGGGGUUGAAAGCUCCGGCGGUGAAGGAUGAGCCCGCGGCCUAUCAGCUUGUUGGUGGGGUGAUGGCCUACCAAGGCGACGACGGGUAGCCGGCCUGAGAGGGCGACCGGCCACACUGGGACUGAGACACGGCCCAGACUCCUACGGGAGGCAGCAGUGGGGAAUAUUGCACAAUGGGCGAAAGCCUGAUGCAGCGACGCCGCGUGAGGGAUGACGGCCUUCGGGUUGUAAACCUCUUUCAGCAGGGAAGAAGCGAGAGUGACGGUACCUGCAGAAGAAGCGCCGGCUAACUACGUGCCAGCAGCCGCGGUAAUACGUAGGGCGCAAGCGUUGUCCGGAAUUAUUGGGCGUAAAGAGCUCGUAGGCGGCUUGUUGCGUCGGUUGUGAAAGCCCGGGGCUUAACCCCGGGUCUGCAGUCGAUACGGGCAGGCUAGAGUGUGGUAGGGGAGAUCGGAAUUCCUGGUGUAGCGGUGAAAUGCGCAGAUAUCAGGAGGAACACCGGUGGCGAAGGCGGAUCUCUGGGCCAUUACUGACGCUGAGGAGCGAAAGCGUGGGGAGCGAACAGGAUUAGAUACCCUGGUAGUCCACGCCGUAAACGUUGGGAACUAGGUGUUGGCGACAUUCCACGUCGUCGGUGCCGCAGCUAACGCAUUAAGUUCCCCGCCUGGGGAG